rnacentral:rRNA from 1 species
GACGGGGGGGUCCUAGCGUUGUUCGGAAUCAUUGGGCGUAAAGCGUGUGCAGGUGGCUCUGUAAGUCAGAUGUGAAAGCCCCGGGCUUAACUCGGGAAGUGCAUUUGAAACUACAGAACUUGAAUAUGGAAGAGGGUCGUGGAAUUCCUGGUGUAGUGGUGAAAUACGUAGAUAUCAGGAGGAACACCGGUGGCGAAGGCGGCGACCUGGUCCAAUAUUGACACUCAUACACGAAAGCGUGGGGAUCAAACAGG